CGACCGGCCGCACGGGUGAGUAACGCGUAUCCAACCUGCCCUUUACUAUCGGGACAGCCCGUCGAAAGGCGGAUUAAUACCGUAUGUUGUCAUGUUGAUGCAUAUUUUCAUGACCAAAGGCUUCGGCCGGUAAAGGAUGGGGAUGCGUCUGAUUAGCUUGCCGGCGGGGUAGCGGCCCACCGGGGCGACGAUCAGUAGGGGUUCUGAGAGGAAGGUCCCCCACAUUGGAACUGAGACACGGUCCAAACUCCUACGGAAGGCAGCAG
rnacentral:rRNA from 1 species